GAACGAGAAAGUGGAGCAAUCCAUGAGUAAAGUGGCGACCGGGUGAGUAACACGUGACUAACCUACCUCCGAGUGGGGAAUAACUCCGGGAAACCGGAGCUAAUACCGCAUAACAUCGCAAGAUCAAAGCAGCAAUGCGCUUGGAGAGGGGGUCGCGGCUGAUUAGCUAGUUGGCGGGGUAACGGCCCACCAAGGCGAAGAUCGGUAUCCGGCCUGAGAGGGCGCACGGACACACUGGAACUGAAACACGGUCCAGACUCCUACGGGAGGCAGCAGUGGGGAAUUUUGCGCAAUGGGGGAAACCCUGACGCAGCAACGCCGCGUGGAGGAUGAAGCCCCUUGGGGCGUAAACUCCUUUCGACCAAGACGAUAAUGACGGUACUGGUGGAAGAAGCACCGGCUAACUCUGUG
rnacentral:rRNA from 1 species